AAUUUAAUUCAUUAAAACAACUCAUUACAGAAAAUUAAUAAAACCACAAUUUUUCAUCGUGGUCCAUUCAACAACAGGCAUCUCAAAGCGACAAACAGGGCAAUUAGAUCUAGCCAUACUCCUAUGCAUGUUUCAUGAAACACGUGUGAGUAAAGCAUGCUAGUAACAUCUUCUGAUCCCACAACAAACUCUUCCAUACAAAUAGUGCAAACCUCACUUUCUUGCACUACACAUCUUAUUUUUCUUUCUCGACCCUCCCCCUCAUCACCAUCGCAUUCUUUUCCAUUAUCAUCAGCCACCACCUUAACCCUCUUCAUCAUCUUCCUGAUAAAAAAACCUCCUUUGUGCACCUCUCGCAUCGCCACAAGAUACGGUCUCUUCUCAUAACAACCCUCAAGCCUAGCAUUCUAUUGGAACCCUUUUUUGAACCUGAGUUGCCAAUUAUGUUGCUCACGGCGUCUAUAAUCUCUUCCACUAUUGCAUCUUGCGAACCCUCUUCUAUUCUAAAUUCAGAAAUAAAGAACAAAUUUGACGUUGCUGUGCAUAGUUUCUACGCAACUCACGUUAAGUUUGCGUGUUGCUUUUUUCACAGGUUCAUAGAACAAAUUUGACGUUGGAUAGACGCUGAUGGAAACAUCAGAGAAAGAGGAGGAGCUUCCAGCCCAAAUAACUCUAAAAGUUUUGUUAACGGACUUUUUAGUAGGCCUCAACAAACAGAACUUCAAUUAGAUGAAUUAAUAGAUCCAGACCAAGACUAUCAAGCUUUUGCCCAGAAUGAUUUAAGAGCGUCCGUAGUAGCCUCAAGACUUAUUAGGCCAUAUAUACAGACUUCUAAGAGUCAGUUUGCAGCAAUCGCCACAACCUCCAGCACUUGAGGAAGACCAGCGCAAACUCAGUGGUAAAUGUUUCUUUGCAUAUCCUUUAAGAAAAAAUCGUAGAGAAUUUAUUAGAAUUGCGGUUUUUCAAUAUAUAAUUUGUAGACAAGUGUUAGAAGGAAAUUUAGAUCUAAGUUGGUAUAUUAUUAGAAAUCUUAGGUAGAAAUACGCUAAGAUAAAGACCUUUUAGGCCCCCAGGGAGCCCUUAUUUCUGGUAUCAGAGCAAUAUAAGAUUCUAGACCUCUAGUAAAGACAACAUAGCUAUGGAAAAAGAGCGCCAUUAUUUAGAAUAUCUUGGUUUAGAACUUUCUAAUCCUCACACACAAUUUAGAGAAAACAAAGCAAAAGGUUUUUCCAUUCACUGUAAUUUUCCUAGCGAUUUAAUGCAGCACAUUCUUCAUACUGAAGAAAAUACUCAAACUAAUAAACAGUUAAACGCUGUUAUAGAUUUGUUAAUUAAUCUUGGUUAUAAGAUAGAGAAAAAACAAGGUCAAUUAAUAGAAAAAUUUGAGACACUAGAAAAAUCUUAUUCUGACAGAAUUUCUAAAUUAGAAAAACAAUUUAAUAGUUUAACUACCAAUCUAGAUUUAGAAUAUCUUUGUGAGAAGACCAAACAAUUUGAGAGAGAGAGAGAUCAGAGAGAAGCUUUAGAGAGAAGAAACCUUGAGACACAAAAUGCCUUUCUUGAGCAACAGCUGUCAGACCACAAAAAUAAGAUUCUUUUCUUAGAAGAACAAAAUAGACGACUGUCAGACAGUCAAACUCAGCUUCAAUUACAGAUUGCACAGACUCAGGCGAGGUUCAUUCCACUUCCCCUUCAAAGUGGUCAGAUGGGUGGUAA